GACGAACGCUGGCGGCAUGCCUAAUACAUGCAAGUCGAGCGAACAGAUGAAGUGCUUGCACUUCUGACGUUAGCGGCGAACGGGUGAGUAACACGUAAGGAAUCUACCUAUAAGCGGGGGAUAACAUUCGGAAACGGGUGCUAAUACCGCAUAAUAUCUUCUUCCGCAUGGAAGAAGAUUGAAAGACGGCUCUGCUGUCACUUAUAGAUGACCUUGCGGUGCAUUAGUUAGUUGGUGGGGUAAUGGCCUACCAAGACGAUGAUGCAUAGCCGACCUGAGAGGGUGGUCGGACACAUUGGGACUGAGACACGGCCCAAACUCCUACGGGAGGCAGCAGUAGGGAAUCUUCCGAAAUGGGCGAAAGCCUGACGGAGCAAUGCCGCGUGAGUGAAGAAGGCCUUCGGGUCGUAAAACUCUGUUAUAAGAGAAGAACAAAUUGUAGAGUAACUGCUACAGUCUUGACGGUAUCUUAUCAGAAAGCCACGGCUAACUACGUGCCAGCCGCCGCAGUAA
rnacentral:rRNA from 1 species